rnacentral:rRNA from 1 species
AAAUUGAAGAGUUUGAUCAUGGCUCAGAUUGAACGCUGGCGGCAGGCCUAACACAUGCAAGUCGAACGGUAACAGGAAGCAGCUUGCUGCUUCGCUGACGAGUGGCGGACGGGUGAGUAAUUUCUGGGAAACUGCCUGAUGGAGGGGGAUAACUACUGGAAACGGUGGCUAAUACCGCAUAACGUCGCAAGACCAAAGAGGGGGACCUUCGGGCCUCUUGCCAUCAGAUGUGCCCAGAUGGGAUUAGCU